rnacentral:tRNA from 1 species
AGCAGUGUGGCCUAAUGGAAAGAGCACUGGCCUGGGAGUCAGAGGACCUGGGUUUUAAUCCCAACUCUACCA